UAUUAAUAGUUAUAAUUAUUAAUAUAAUCUGCUCCAUGAUAAAUUAAAUAGCCGCAAAGUUCACUUUGUGCUAAGGUAGCAUAAUCAUUUGUCUUUUAAUUAAAGACUAGAAUAAAAGAUAUUACAUUUCAAUUAAAUAAUAUUUAAUUUUAAUUUUUUAAAUUCUUUUAAAUGUAAAAAAACAUUUAUUUAUUAAAAAGACAAUAAGACCCUAUUGAAUUUUAUUAAAAUUUAACUGGGGCAGUUAAUCAAUUAUUAUUUUAAUUAAAACUUUUAAAAAUUGAUCUAAUUAAAUUAAAAAGAUCAAAUUACCCUAGGGAUAACAGCAUAAUAUAUUUUUAAAGAUCUUAUACAAAAAAAUGAUUAUGACCUCGAUGUUGAAUAAUAUACUAAAUUAAGUAAAUGUUUUAAUAGAAAGUCUGUUCGACUUAUAACUAAUUACA
rnacentral:rRNA from 1 species